rnacentral:rRNA from 1 species
AAAGGAAUAGACGGGGGCCCGCACAAGCGGCGGAGCAUGUGGAUUAAUUCGAUGCAACGCGAAGAACCUUACCUGGGCUUGACAUACACCAGAUCGCUGCAGAGAUGUAGCUUCCCUUGUGGCUGGUGUACAGGUGGUGCAUGGUUGUCGUCAGCUCGUGUCGUGAGAUGUUGGGUUAAGUCCCGCAACGAGCGCAACCCUUGUCUUAUGUUGCCAUCACGUGAUGGUGGGCACUCAUGAGAGACUGCCGGGGUUAACUCGGAGGAAGGUGGGGAUGACGUCAAAUCAUCAUGCCCCUUAUGUCCAGGGCUUCACACAUGCUACAAUGGUCGGUACAGCGAGUUGCCACACCGUGAGGUGGAGCUAAUCUCUCAAAGCCGGCCUCAGUUCGGAUUGGGGUCUGCAACUCGACCCCAUGAAGUCGGAGUCGCUAGUAAUCGCAGAUCAGCAACGCUGCGGUGAAUACGUUCCCGGGCCUUGUACACACCGCCCGU